ACUUUUAAAGGCAAACCCCAUGCUACUAGAGGAGUAUCAAACUGACAUUUCAAAUCCUCAGUUGUUUUAAUUCCACUCAAUUCCAUUGUUACCACUAAAGGCUGAUGUUACACAUAAACGCGAGAGGCGCUCAUCAAGUGAAGAGUUUCAGUUCGUGCCUCAAUUUAUUCCCAACUAUAACAACAUCCUGCACAACGAUGACUUCAUUCAUCUCCUGAUGCCACUUCUACUAGCACGACUGAGCCCUGCUUCUGGUCUCGCUGCUCCUCCUGAUGAAGACUCUGACAGUUAAGACAACCUGUGCUGUAAUAAUGGGUUGCUGGUAAUUUCAUGAAAUAAACACAACUGCAUUGCAAAUGCAUAUGUCACGUGUUUGAUAUUUGGUUUUAAUCCCUUAAAUCAUA